AAUAUUGGUCAAUGGAGGCAACUCAGAACCAGCCAAGCCGCGUGAAGGAUGACUGCCCUACGGGAAGUAAACUUCUUUCUUAAGGGAAUAAAGUGAGCGACGUGUCGCGUUCUGCAUGUACUUUACGAAUAAGGAUCGGCUAACUCCGUGCCAGCAGCCGCGGUAAUACGGAGGAUCCGAGCGUUAUCCGGAUUUAUUGGGUUUAAAGGUUGCGCAGGCGGAAUAUUAAGUCGGCGGUGAAGGCUUGCAGCUUAACUGUAAAAUUGCCGUUGAAACUGGUUUUCUUGAGUGUAUAUGAAGUAGGCGGAAUUUGUAGUGUAGCGGUGAAAUGCAUAGAUAUUACAAGGAACUCCGAUUGCGAAGGCAGCUUACUAAAAUACAACUGACGCUCAGGCACGAAGGCGUGGGUAUCAAACA
rnacentral:rRNA from 1 species